rnacentral:tRNA from 1 species
UGGCUCAGACGGUAAAGCAUCUGCCUGUGAUGCAGGAGACCCAGGUUCGAUUCCUGUG